GCGGAUGUGGUGGAAUGGUAGACACGCAUGCUUGAGGGGCAUGUGGCUUUAGGGCCGUGUGAGUUCAAAUCUCAUCUUUCGCACCA
rnacentral:tRNA from 1 species